GGUUAUAGCCCUGGCACCGCCUCAGGGCCGGACGGUGAUGGGUUCGAGCGGUGUUACAGCCCCGGCACCGCCUCACGGACGGACGGCGGUGCUCGAAAAGACUGGUUGGAAAUAAACCACCAUAAACUGGUGUCAACAGAGCAGACCUUACAGGAAAGAGGGGUGAAAAAAGCAAGUCCCCGUUUGAUCUUCAGCUGCUGCUUCAGCUUUGAAGUGCUGCAAACACAGCCUUGGAACUCGUCUGUCUUUGAUAUUGCCACACAGCUGAAGAGUUCUGUGCUGUACCACCACUCAGGCCAUGAAGAUGCCAGGGAAGUGCUUGGAGUGACACAUCUGCUUGAAACACCCAAGUUUUUAGGGUGCUUUUACACCUGAAGGAUCUGUCAUGCUCUUAUUUAUAAUGCAGUCUGAUACACAAAGCUUUGUCAAUGUUAUUUUCUUCAUCAUUCUGUGAAGCCUCUUUGGUUUUUUGGUUUUUUUUAACCUCUGCAGUUUGCUCUGUUUGCAGUAAUACUGAAAUAUCCACCUGAAAGAACUGCCUGUAAUCCCAUGGGUCUGGGGAAGAGGAUGGCAAAGGGAAAAACUCCUCCUUGUGCCUUGCAGCAGCUGGGAAAUAAUCAACAUGCAAUUAUUUACUCCUGUGCUCACAGAUUGGACACCUCACCCAAGGAGAUGAAGGGGAAGGAGUUUCCUUGCUCCAUUCCCAGGGAGAUGGAAGCCUCUUUCCUCAGGUUUGUGUUUGCCCAAAGCAGCCAGUGCAGUGAUGGCUCCAAGUUUACAAUUCCAGCCCUGGCUUGCUCGUAUUUAGCAGAGAAACUGCUUUUAAGGAGUAUCAGAAAGAUUUUUCCUGGGUGGUUUCUGGGAGGGAGUAACAGGAGUGUUGCCCUGAGGUGACCCUUUGAGCUGGAAUGCUCCUGGCUCACAAGGGAGUGAAAGUACCUCAGAAAAAUAUUUUGAAAGGUGGUUUUGAACCCCAAACAUGCAAGAUAAUGAGUGGAGAAUGAGCUAAAACAAAGGCAUCUGUCCUGUCUGUACUGCUGAUUAACAAGCACCAAUUUCACCCUAAUAACUGAAUUACAGCUGGAUUGAAGGCCAGGGGAAUGCCCUGGAGCAGGGAAACCUCCCAGGCUUUGGGAUCCCUUACUCACACCAGAUCCUUGGUGAGUGACUGAGAGCAGCUGAAUUAGUACUAACGAAUAAAUCAUUACUAAGGUGAACUUCAAACCUUGGUAAACCACUGUUAAAGCUUUAUUAAAUUCCAUCAACUUUAUUGAACUCUGUCAAAUUAUUCUUUUCACUCUCUUUGGAGUGAGGUGCCACAACUGUUUUCUUUUAAAGCAAAGAAUAAAAUAAAUCUCAGCAUGGAGACAAAGUUUAUUUCUGCAAGAUUUACUUUACAAACUCAAAAACCAGGCAUUGUUUGUGCUCUUGCCUGCACACAGUACAGAGCAUCUCCAUUUUCCAGGAAAAAAAGAAAAACUUUGAAAAAUACAAACUUUUUAGGUUCAGAAAGUCAAGUUUUUCAGUUUUUAAUCUUCAAACCCAUAAAGCAACACACAAAGACCAAAGUGGAAGUGGUGUGUGUUUUCCUUCCCCCAUCCCAUUUCAUCUCUUAGCUGGAAAACUUUUCCCUCAAAGCAGUGGCAAUUGUUCCUGUCUCACAAAAAUCCCAGUGCUUUCUCUCUUCAGAGAGACUAAAGCCAGACACAAUUAAAUAUGGCAAAUUUUUCUUUAAAAUCCCUUGCUGUAAGUCACCUUCCAGACCCUCCAACAAGGCCUUUAUUUCAAGCCAUUGAAAGUUCUGGGUUUUCACUGAUGAUUAUUAGAAUUGAAGAGGGAAAUUGUCACUUAUCAAAAUGACCCUGAAAAAGCAGGGAUUGAGUCUUCUUGCUUCACUGUCUAGUACAGCAUAUAGGAAAUAUAAACAAGCCUCAUAAAGAAUUUACACAAUAAGAUACCUUUGGGGCUUUUUACAUUAAUUCAGUCAAUUUACAAAUAAUCACUGCAGGCAGAGAGUUAAAAUUAUCAUACAAAACACAAGUACAACCUCCAUCUUAUUACUUAUUAAAAUGUAGAAAUUCUCCUUGGCAAAAUAAAAAUAUAUAUGUAUGCAUAUGUAUAUAUAUACAGUUUUGUCUCUGUAUUCCAAAUAUUAAAUACAACAUUUUAUAUUAUUUGUUUUGGUUAGCAUGCAAUGAUGAACAGUAACAGACAAAAGUUUUUUUUCUAUAAGGGUUGAGAAAAGUAUAAGGCUGCAUCAAAAAUAAAAUCAGUUGCUUUUAAGAUACCUGUUAAAAAAAAAACUCAAAAGUUAGCUGUGGUGAUGAAAACAGCACGUCUUAAGACUUGAUUAUUACAGUUUUAAAAGCAAUUGAAACCUUUUUUCAGUGCCAUGAAUUUAAAAACAAUAAAAUUCUGAAAACCAAGUUCAUUCAUAAAGGGAAAACAGCAGCUCUGAACUCCACAAAAAAAGUAGUUUAAGACAUUUAGAAAGCAACUUGUGUGCUUACAUGAAAACUUGUAAAACCACAGCUGAAUUAAAUAAAAUGUGGCACAAAAGCUCUGUUUAACUCAAUCUUCAGGCUGAAACGAGGCAGUCAGAGGUGCUCUCCUGCCUCUUCCCCUGUCAGCAGCCUGGGUACCUGCAGGUGCUGAGCUGCACCCACUUUCAACCAGACCCAUUUGCAGUUAGAUAUGCAAAUUAGGCACUGCCUUUAGGACAAUCCAUUAAUCACUCUCGUCACUGGAGUCAAAAAUGUCAUUGAGUAUCUCAUCAUUGGAGUCAAAAAUGUCACUGAAUCUGAAAGCCUUCUGCUGCUGCCUGGCUGUUGAAGUGACCGAAGUACUGUGUUUCCCCUCUUCUUCCCUUAACUUUCCUUCAAGUUCUGGGAGUGCAUUUUCAUACAGAUAAUCAAUGAUUUC